GGGGAUUUAGUACAAUGGUAGUAUAAUUGCUUUGCACGCAAUAGAUAGGGGUUCGAUUCCCUUAAUUUCCA
rnacentral:tRNA from 1 species